CAGGCCCUAGACUGCGACCGGAGUUUAGCUCGGACACUGAUCAGAAAGGAGUCGCGCUCAUACUCAGGAUAGAUCCACGUUAACUCUUUGCCCGGAAUAGGAAACUGUGGCCAGUUUUCAAGCGAAAAGUUCUGAGCGGGCCCCGGCCUCCGGACUCGGAUCCCGCCCUCCGACCCGGACCCCGCCCUCAGAUCCCUGCCCUCGGACCUGGACCCCGACCCAGCCCCGGCUCUCCGACUCCGGACCUUGACCCCUGACCCCGGAUCCCGCCCUCUGGUCCUGGACCUGGCCCUCCGAGCCCAGACCCCCGACCACGCCCUCGCCCUCCGGACCCGGACCCCGGCCUUCCGCAGCCCCACCGGCCCUGCCCGGCAGAUAAAGUGGACCUUAGGCAGCUGAGGAGGCUCCCACACGAUGCGGGGACGGGGAAGAACGUGCCUUUUCCACUCUCUGGACUUUCAUUCUAGGUGUUCCAUUGGUCUUCUGAGGUGACACGUGGACCUUUUUUCUCGUGUCAAACUAGUCUUGGGAUCUUUCAGCAUAAUCGCUACAACUAAGAUGCCAGAAAGUGAUCAAAAUAUCCCAGGUUUGUUUAUAACCCGCUUGGGCUCGUCCAGAAAAGGCUGAGUAUCUACAGGUGAUGUGUGCUUGGAGGGCAGCUGGAAGGGGAGCCCUCACGGCCUGGUUCUUUGACCCAGACUAAAAUGAGGACCAAAAGGAAGAACGGGCGGUGGUUUCAUGUUGCAAAGUAUUUGCAAAAUCCAAACUAAAAUUAUAUUUCCCGUCCGAAAGAUGAGAGAAAGUUAUUCUGCUACCCUCCACAAAAUUAAAUUUCAGAAAAUUAGCACAAGCCCAGGAGGUAACUUCAGGCGUUAGAAGUAAAUUAACACCACUUCUGACUCCCACCCUCAGCCUGUGUUUCAGGCUUGAAGAGUAGCAGUUUUCUAAGUGUUCUUCACUUUUUGAGAAAAUGAGGGUAGGAAUUGAUCCCUGAGGACAAGAGUAGAUUGCUGAGUGGUGCAGGAGAAGGAUGACCCUGAAUCAUCACCACCCCUUUUUUGGCAUCUGCGUUUACCUAUAAUCAUAUCUGGAUUCUCUUGGUAGGUGCUGAUUGAAACGACCCUAUUGGUCUGUUAUAGUGAAUCUUAUAGUGAAUUAAUAAAUCGGAAUCCUGUUUUGCAGACCAGUUUCCUUUGUGUUGGAAUAAUAAAUUAGUUAUCAGGCUCUGGAGACUGCUUAGUGAUCUGAGAAGAGUUCAAAACGUGGAAGCCUGAGGAGGGACCCUCAGUAAAGCUAUGGAAAGAGCAACUGUGAUUAGAAAAAGGAAUUCACCAUAAAUCAGUUGUGUGUGUUUGCUUUUUGUGGUUUUUUUUGUCAAACCAAAUUAUCAAAUAAAGGAAAUAAGUCUGGAA